rnacentral:lncRNA from 1 species
AAUUCUCAUACACAUAGGAAAAUAAGUCUAAUAUCUUCUCACAUAAAUUUUACUCCAAUCCAACUAGUACAUUGCAAAAAAUCUUAAAAACCCUCACUAGACCUAAAAUUCUACUUUCUGAGACCUUGACCCAUUUAAACCUUAAUAACCUUCAAUUCAAUUGUUAGAUUGAGUUAAUAUUUAGAACACAUAUUAAGCACAAUUAUGACCAUUAAUCUAAAAAAUUUCACUUAUAUAACUAUUACAAAACUCUUGAAAUCUUUAGAAAUGACAAUCCUAUUUUAUUUCACAAAAUCCAAGUCAUUUGAAAACA